AAAAAGAUAAGCUAAAAUAAGCUACUGGGCUCAUAACCCAAAGAUAGUGCAAGUCACUUCUUUUUA
rnacentral:tRNA from 1 species